UAAUAAUAAAGGCCAUGCCCCGUUUUAAGUGUUUUAACUCCCGAUCACCGCUACCCUUUCCGAUUGAUCUGGAGCCCCAUAACGCAUGUCAAGACUCUGCCCGACUAAGUUCGUUAGGGUUCUAUCUCGUGACAUAAGGACAAGGUUGAAUUAGGGUUAUUAUACUUAACACGAGUGUAAAUAUAUAUAUACUACUUUAAUAAGCAUAUAGGAAGGACAGAAAUGGUCAUUUGCCACUUUACAAGCAUUUGAAGCCCAUUGUACAACCUUUAAAGCAUGAAGGUGUUGAAAAAUCCUUCUACACGAGGACCAGCUUUAAAGUUUGUUGAACCCAAUUUUGGGCGGCCAACUUUUGUUCAAAAUUCGAAUUCCCGCUCAUCCCCACUUCCCCAUACAUCCAGUCUUUUCAUUUCACAUCAGUCUCUUCCUUUCCUUCUCUCCUCCUCUUAAAACCAUCUCCAAUUCUCAAUUUUCUGUACGCAUGAUCCAAUUUCUCCAUGGCUAUUCUUGCAAAAUCCCUAGAUUCCAAAAUAUUGAGCCACGAUCUGAACAAAACCAGCUUCAGAUCUAAACAAAACCACCCACGAAAAGGUUUGCAACGGUGAACAGAAUCCCCUCUACUCCAUGGUUUCAGCCGUCACUGAUGACACUCCAGGUUCUUCCCUUCUCUGGUUCCAGAGAUGACUAUGGUGGUGUCACGGAAGAGGUUUGCAACGGAACAACUGUGCUGGAACCUUUGAAGAUCGACGAUGACGGCGGCGGUUAGGGUUCCGGUUCUUCCCUUAUCUGGUUCCAAAGUGACACCGUUCUUUUGAAUCACUGGAUUUCAUUUACAUUUGUUUGUGUUUUUAAGAUGGAUCUUUGUUUUUUCUGUAGGUCAUGGUUUAAAGAACAGGUAACGGUUUGAGAAGAGUUCAAAUCUCAGAUUCUUAGUUUUUGAGUUUCUUGAAGAACCCUAAUUGAUUUGGUUUUGUUUUCAUGGAGAUUUGAUUUGCUGAAAGAUCAAGACCACGACCAGUUACGCCCCUGAUGAUGAAGAAGACGAAGAUGACGUUGAUGGUGAGUUAUGUAUCAGAGAUUCAGAGCAAGCCCUAACCCUAGAUUUCAAUAACGUCAUCCAAGCAAGGUGAACUCAAAGAUUGUUUCAACAUGACAACAAGAAACUUUGAUCUUGUAAGAUACCUAGAAAGGUGGUAGGAAGUUGCUUCAUUUAAACAUGGAUUUGUUGGUCAAGGUCAAGAGGAUUUCCCUCUGCACCCAGGUAUAUAGAUCUCGCUAAUGCUGCAAAAGAAAAAUACCAGAUGGAAGGUCAGCUAUUUCAAGAGAGAGAACUCAUAGGUGUCGGCAUCAGAGAUGAACUCUAGACGCGAGAUCACAGGGUUGCUUAUGGUCAGCUUUCUGGUUGGAAUCACAAAUAUUGCACCAGGUGGACUCAAAGAUUGUUUCAACAUGACAACAAGAAACUUUGAUCUUGUAAGAUACUUAGGAAGCUGGUAUGAAGUUGCUUCAUUUAAACAUGGAUUUGUUGGUCAAGGAAAGAGGAUUUCCUCUGCACCCAGGUAUAUAGGUAUAUUCUAAAGGUAAUUUUUGAAAUUAACUAGUUUUUAUAAAGGUGACAAACUGAGCAGGCUAGGCUGGCCAACUAGGUAAUGGGUAAAAAGGUACUUUUUUUUUGUUUUCCGAAUCACCUAAUGAGUAGGGUUGACAUUAGACACUUUCGUUCUAAAGUUCUGACAUUAAACACCUAAAGUUUGUACUCAAAUCAGUCCUAAUCAACACAUUAUUGGUUCUAAGUUUUUAAUUUUACUAGCAAUACUGAUAAAAACAGGUUAACGUAACUUGUUUUUUUAGUGCUGAUUAAAUUUAUUUAAUUGUUUGUGCAGGGAGCCAAAGGGGUUUGGUUCAACCUGAUCCAUUUCCAGUUAUAUAUACAUAUAUACGCACAAUUUAUUUCAGUUUCAUUUUUCAUAUAACCAAUCUUACCCGACCCGACCAUUCGUGUGUUGUGGCGAGCGCUGUUGGGUUGCAGGUUUGUGUUUGGCUUCAAAUCUCGAUUAUGGUCUGGUUCGAGAGUAUCAAAGACUUGUUGGAAUAUGUAGCGAAGCAGAGAAUUACCAAAGCAAAGAGAAGACUAAGCGAGGCAGUGUUUUUUUUUUUGGGUAAAGGGAGGCAGUGUUUAUGUUAACAUGGUGGAGAAUAUGAAUGAGCCGCAAUGAAAAGGUCUUUAAAGGAAUUACUACUUGACUUGUCAAAAGAUGGUGGAUGCCAUUAAGAAGACAUCGUUUUGGUGGAUUCUAAAUAGAUCCAAAUGGAAAAGUAUUUAAUGGGAUGCUUGGAACCGACACUUGGGAGGAGUCUUUUUUGAAUAAUUUUGUUGCUAGCUCUGUAUGUAGGUUUUGUUCUGCUGGGUGUUUUUGGUUGUAUGUUACAGGUUUCCUUGUAUUGUUGUUUGUAGUUUUGGGGCUCUCUUACCAGGGUAGGUGUGUUUUAAUGAAAUUUUGCCUCGCUUGCCUUUCAAAAAAUAAAAUAUAAGAACAAGUUUUACUAUAUAGACAAAAAUCCAUGGCUUAUGAACACGAUGGUUUUUAAAAAAUUAAAUUUAAGCA